GACGAACGCUGGCGGCGUGCUUAACACAUGCAAGUCGAACGAUGAAGCCUAGCUUGCUAGGUGGAUUAGUGGCGAACGGGUGAGUAAUACGUGAGUGACCUACCUUUGACUCUGGGAUAAGCCUGGGAGACUGGGUCUAAUACCGGAUACGACCAAUCUCUGCAUGGGGUGUUGGUGGAAAGCGUUAUGGAGUGGUUUUAGAUGGGCUCACGGCCUAUCAGCUUGUUGGUGAGGUAAUGGCUUACCAAGGCGACGACGGGUGGCCGGCCUGAGAGGGUGACCGGCCACACUGGGACUGAGACACGGCCCAGACUCCUACGGGAGGCAGCAGUGGGGAAUAUUGCACAAUGGGCGCAAGCCUGAUGCAGCGACGCCGCGUGAGGGAUGACGGCCUUCGGGUUGUAAACCUCUGUUAGCAUCGAAGAGGCGAAAGUGACGGUAGGUGCAGAGAAAGCGCCGGCUAACUACGUGCCAGCAGCCGCGGUAAUACGUAGGGCGCGAGCGUUGUCCGGAAUUAUUGGGCGUAAAGAGCUUGUAGGCGGUUGGUCGCGUCUGCUGUGAAGGCCGGGGCUUAACUCCGGUUUUGCAGUGGGUACGGGCUAACUAGAGUGCAGUAGGGGAGACUGGAAUUCCUGGUGUAGCGGUGGAAUGCACAGAUAUCAGGAGGAACACCGAUGGCGAAGGCAGGUCUCUGGGCUGUAACUGACGCUGAGAAGCGAAAGCAUGGGGAGCGAACAGGAUUAGAUACCCUGGUAGUCCAUGCCGUAAACGUUGGGCACUAGGUGUGGGGGACAUUCCACGUUUUCCGCGCCGUAGCUAACGCAUUAAGUGCCCCGCCUGGGGAGUACGGCCGCAAGGCUAAAACUCAAAGGAAUUGGCGGGGGCCCGCACAAGCGGCGGAGCAUGCGGAUUAAUUCGAUGCAACGCGAAGAACCUUACCAAGGCUUGACAUGCAUUAGAUCGCGUCAGAGAUGGCGUUUCCCUUCGGGGCUGGUGUACAGGUGGUGCAUGGUUGUCGUCAGCUCGUGUCGUGAGAUGUUGGGUUAAGUCCCGCAACGAGCGCAACCCUCGUUCUAUGUUGCCAGCGGUUCGGCCGGGGACUCAUAGGAGACUGCCGGGGUCAACUCGGAGGAAGGUGGGGAUGACGUCAAAUCAUCAUGCCCCUUAUGUCUUGGGCUUCACGCAUGCUACAAUGGCCGGUACAGAGGGUUGCGAUACUGUGAGGUGGAGCUAAUCCCUUAAAGCCGGUCUCAGUUCGGAUUGGGGUCUGCAACUCGACCCCAUGAAGUCGGAGUCGCUAGUAAUCGCAGAUCAGCAACGCUGCGGUGAAUACGUUCCCGGGCCU
rnacentral:rRNA from 1 species